rnacentral:rRNA from 1 species
GAGUUUGAUCCUGGCUCAGAUUGAACGCUGGCGGCAUGCUUUACACAUGCAAGUCGGACGGCAGCACAGAGAAGCUUGCUUCUUGGGUGGCGAGUGGCGAACGGGUGAGUAACAUAUCGGAACGUACCGAGUAGUGGGGGAUAACUGAUCGAAAGAUCAGCUAAUACCGCAUACGUCUUGAGAGGGAAAGCAGGGGACCUUCGGGCCUUGCGCUAUUCGAGCGGCCGAUAUCUGAUUAGCUAGUUGGUGGGGUAAAGGCCUACCAAGGCGACGAUCAGUAGCGGGUCUGAGAGGAUGAUCCGCCACACUGGGACUGAGACACGGCCCAGACUCCUACGGGAGGCAGCAGUGGGGAAUUUUGGACAAUGGGCGCAAGCCUGAUCCAGCCAUGCCGCGUGUCUGAAGAAGGCCUUCGGGUUGUAAAGGACUUUUGUCAGGGAAGAAAAGGCUGUUGCUAAUAUCAGCGGCUGAUGACGGUACCUGAAGAAUAAGCACCGGCUAACUACGUGCCAGCAGCCGCGGUAAUACGUAGGGUGCGAGCGUUAAUCGGAAUUACGGGCGUAAAGCGGGCGCAGACGGUUACUUAAGCAGGAUGUGAAAUCCCCGGGCUCAACCCGGGAACUGCGUUCUGAACUGGGUGACUCGAGUGUGUCAGAGGGAGGUAGAAUUCCACGUGUAGCAGUGAAAUGCGUAGAGAUGUGGAGGAAUACCGAUGGCGAAGGCAGCCUCCUGGGACAACACUGACGUUCAUGCCCGAAAGCGUGGGUAGCAAACAGGAUUAGAUACCCUGGUAGUCCACGCCCUAAACGAUGUCAAUUAGCUGUUGGGCAACUUGAUUGCUUAGUAGCGUAGCUAACGCGUGAAAUUGACCGCCUGGGGAGUACGGUCGCAAGAUUAAAACUCAAAGGAAUUGACGGGGACCCGCACAAGCGGUGGAUGAUGUGGAUUAAUUCGAUGCAACGCGAAGAACCUUACCUGGUCUUGACAUGUACGGAAUCCUCCAGAGACGGAGGAGUGCCUUCGGGAGCCGUAACACAGGUGCUGCAUGGCUGUCGUCAGCUCGUGUCGUGAGAUGUUGGGUUAAGUCCCGCAACGAGCGCAACCCUUGUCAUUAGUUGCCAUCAUUCAGUUGGGCACUCUAAUGAGACUGCCGGUGACAAGCCGGAGGAAGGUGGGGAUGACGUCAAGUCCUCAUGGCCCUUAUGACCAGGGCUUCACACGUCAUACAAUGGUCGGUACAGAGGGUAGCCAAGCCGCGAGGCGGAGCCAAUCUCACAAAACCGAUCGUAGUCCGGAUUGCACUCUGCAACUCGAGUGCAUGAAGUCGGAAUCGCUAGUAAUCGCAGGUCAGCAUACUGCGGUGAAUACGUUCCCGGGUCUUGUACACACCGCCCGUCACACCAUGGGAGUGGGGGAUACCAGAAGUAGGUAGGGUAACCGCAAGGAGUCCGCUUACCACGGUAUGCUUCAUGACUGGGGUGAAGUCGUAACAAGGUAGCCGUAGGGGAACCUGCGGCUGGAUCACC